AGUGGAUACUGACAUACGAUGCAGGCCUUAUUUUGCAAACAGGGCAAGUGAGGCAUCUGCCGCCACACUUUCAGAUUAGAGGAGGCAAACAUGGACCUAAUGAAUUCCGGUGGCAGAAAAAGAUUUUAGCAAGAGAAUUCAAAUUGCAUAUUCAUAUUGAGGGGAUACAGAUUAUUUCCUGUAAUCAAAUUUGAAUCUGUUUAAUGUAGAACAUGUUGCUUAAGAAGACAUUCCUAACACCUAGGAGUUUCCUGUGGGGUAACUGCAUCUAUUCUGUUCUCACUAAAACAAAGUGGAACUCAAAGGAAAUACAUACAAUCAAAUAACAUGUCCAGUACCAAAACAUCUACCCAUCUGUUGCCUGUACCCAUCUGAAGGACAGAGGAGAAUCAGAAUCAACUUCAAAAUUUUUGGAAUCAAACAGCCCUAAUGGCCAGGCUAAGGCUACAUGUUGUCAUUGACAGCGUCGUUGACAGGCAAGUAAAAACUACCUUGUCCUGAUUGGUUGAAUGUUGGAUAGUCCAUUUUCUUUCUCCCAUUUACAGAGCCUGGGACAGACAGGACUUUUUCCUCUAAACAUUUUUUGACAGCUGAUGUAAACUAAGGAGAAAUUUGCCAAAUAUUACAAAACAUGUUCUGGCAAUCACUGACUACCCUUUAGCAAGCGAUUCAGUGGAAGCUCUAAUAUUAAGCUCAUUACUGAAUUUAGCUGGUAUCCGUGAUCAAAAUAGCCUCCUAAAAACUGCUUGUGUACUGAUUGUGCCUAAAGGUAGUACACAGUCUACAGUAUUUGAUGAAUUUCUACAGAUAUGUGGAUAACGUACUAUCUUGCCAAAUAUUCCAGGAGGCAGCCUGAGCUAUCAUCAUGACAUACUGCAUCCCAUUGUGUGACACGAUCAUUUC